rnacentral:lncRNA from 1 species
ACUCAUAAUUUAACCUGUCACUGUCAGAAUCUUAUUUUAUUAGACUCAUCCUUCAACAAGCUACUACUGUUUCAUCCCUUGCUCAUGUAUAUGAAAGUUGGUUCAAGUAUUUCCUAAUACUAGGUUUGAGAGUAAGGAGACUGUGAAGUACUGAGUUCAAAUACAUCUCAUUUUAGAAUCACAGUCACAACUUCAUGCUUUGAAUUUUAAUGCUUGCACAUUUAACUUUCCCUUUCAUUUUAAUACCUUGUCAAUCACCAUUCUCUAGUUAUUAUCUAGAUCACUUACUAUUAGUUUGUUUUGACCUCCAGGAUAUUCCUGUUUCUCCAAAUAUCACUGAUUCCCUGAGUUCCUGACUACUGCCUUGUAUCCGCCUAAUGGUAACUACAACUUAAAUCCCAGGAUGGUGAGCUAGAGAGCUAGCUCUUUUUGGUUCUGUAAGUCUCAGCUCUCCUCAGGCAUUUCUAGCAAUGUGGCUGCUAAAGACUCUGGCUGGUAUGAAAAAAAUAAAAGCCAUAUACUAAAUUUAUAGUUAUACAAGUAGUAUCUGAAGAUUUGCAGUCAUCUGUGUGAUAAUAAAAAGUAACAACAAUAACAAAUGAAAUAGCAGUAACUUUUGAAAUAGAGUUGACAAAGUAUUAUCACUUCAUUUAUUCAUCCAUUCAUUUAAUAAAAUUUAUUGAGCACCAGAUUUGUGCCAGGCAUUUUUAAUGGAGCUUACAAUUAAUUGGGGAUUCAUAUAAAGUACAGAUAAUUAUCAGUUGUGGUAAGGGCAUAUAGAAAAAGUAAACAGAAGAUGCUGUGAGAGUUUUCAAAGUCACACAGAACAUUCCUAUAGAAGUAAAGUUCACGGAUACUGAAGAAGCUUUAUUUGGUUGUUACAAUAAGCUUGUGAUGUAGAGAAGUUUUAUAUCCAUUUUGCAUAAUAAGGGGAAUAGCUAUGGCAUUGAGGUAUUGUUUGAGCUUCUUUUACCUUCAUUAGUCCAUUCUUCCUUAAUCAGGAACAUAGGGAAUUUUAACAUUUAUCCAAAGCAUUUAUCCAAAUUUGGUUGGAUAUGAUUAAUGCAAGCUGGGUGUGGUAAUACAUACCUAUAAUCUCAGUAUUCUAUGGUCUAAAGCAGACAGAUUAAGAAUUCAAGAAUCCAAGGCCAGAUUGGCUUACCUAACAAGAUUUUUUUUUUGGCUUUGAGACAGGAUUUCUCUGUAGAGCCCUGGCUGUCCUGGAACUCACUUUGUAGACCAGGCUGGCCUUGAACUCAGAAAUCCACCUGUCUCUGCCUUCCAAGUGCUGGGAUUAUAGGCGUGCACCACCACCACCCGGCACAAGAUCUUUUUUCAAGGAAAGCCAGAUAAUUUUCAUAAGUCAGUGAUGGCCAGGUGGUUAGAUGCAUUGGACUCCGAAAAAAGUAGAUAAUUCAUAUGUAAUGAUGGUCCUCAUAUUUAAUGGAUAUUAUAAAAAUGGGAAAAACUCAUUAGAUUGUGUGUGUGCACGCGUGCACGCGCAUAUAUGUGCAGUUACACUAUUGUUUGUGAGUGCACAUACACAUGUGUAUACCUGUGGAAAUUAGAGAUGACUUUGAAUCUCAUUUUUCAGAAGCCAUCUGCUUUAAUUUUGUUUCUUUGUUUUGAUCCAACAUCUCUCAUUGGUCUAGAGUUUUUUAAUUAUGUGUUCAUAUGUCUUUGUCUCACCAGUGCUGGAAUUUUAAGGGCACACCACUAGAUCUAGCCAUUUAAAAUUAUAACCAUGUUUGUAAGACAUGUACAUUAUUGGCUGAGUUAUCUCCCUGGUCACUGGCUCUAGCUUUAAGGGAAAAGAAUAAGUAAACAUGUUGAUUAUAUAUAAUAUUUGUCAUUAAAAUAUUUAUGGUUUGUGAAUUAGGUAAUUCUAAUUCUAGUUUUAAAAUCAGCUUAAUGAUAUAAAGUGUGGCUGCAGCUCUUCUUAAAUAUAUGAUCAGAGACAAAUGACCAUUAGAAAAUAUGAUAUGGUUAUCAUAGUAUAAGAAGUAUAUGUGAUUCUUUUUUUAUAUUUUUUCUGUUUCCCCCAAAGUUCUUACCAUCCAAAUAAACCUUAUAUUGAAGAAAAACAUUUAAACAGUUGUAUUCAAAGUUUAUUACUUACUUAAAUAUUAAAAAUAUAUGUAACUAAGUAUUAUUGCAAAAUUUCAAAAUAUAAAGAAACAAAGUAAAAAAAAAGUAUAUCCUCAAAUUAUCGAAAUCUCACAGAAAAUCUUUAUAAAGAUUUUGGUGUAUAUUCUUCCAUAAUUUUCAGUGUUUAUGUAUUUUUCCAGAAUGAAAUGAUUUGACCACUCUGCAAUCUAUUUUUUGAAUUAAUGGAAGUUGUAAAUUUUCACAACAGUAAACUGUGUUAUGACUUCAAAAUGUGUUAUGACUUCAAUAAAUGAUAUAUUUAUUUUGUCUC